rnacentral:piRNA from 1 species
UNCAGAGUGAGAUGAAGAUUGACCUCAGC